AUGAGAAGCUGAAGCGCGAGUGUGAUUGGUGCUCAGUGAUUCUGGAGGGACUUGGUGACUGUUGACAACGCAAACUUCUGCGGACCCAAGACUCUACACUCUUCAGAGUAGGGGUGAAGGCACGUCAGCGACCAGACAAGGAGUCAUGAAGAGACAGCGGGGAGCCCUGCUGGGGCUUCUGUGGCUGCAGGUUUGCUGGGUGAGAGGGAUAGACGUGGAGCAGACACCUGCAGCCCUGAGCCUCCAGGAGGGAGCCAGCUCUACCCUGAGGUGCAAUUUUUCCAGCUCGGUGACCAAUGUGCAGUGGUUCCGACAGAACCCCGGGGGCGGCAGCCUCACCCGGCUGUUUUACAUCGCUUCAGGGAUGAAGCAGGAUGGGAGGUUGAACUGCACGGUGAACCCUAAGGACCGGCACAGCAGCCUGCACAUCAUGGCCUCCCAGCAGGAAGACUCAGCCACCUAUCUGUGUGCGGUGCAGGCACAGUGCUCCCUGCUGCUCUGCAGCCUGUCCCCAAACUGCAGCUGGGCUCCCAGCCCAGCCUCCUCCACCAGGAAGCCUUCCUGUCUCAGUUUCAUUUGCACAGCCUUAUGUUUCGUUAUUCAUUUUGUCAGUCUUUUAAUUCUGUCUAUAAUUAUAAACUUAUAAUGCUAACAUGGAGCUCUUAGAGAUGCUAAACACAGUGGCAAGGUUCAAAGUCACGUUUAAGUAAACAGUGGAAAUGUCCAACUCAGGGUCAAAGCUAGAGCUUCAAUGAGCAGAGACUAAAUAGGUUACUAUGGC